CUGGCGGCAGGCCUAACACAUGCAAGUCGAGCGCUCACUUCGGUGGGAGCGGCGGACGGGUUAGUAACGCGUGGGAAUAUGCCCGGUACUAAGGAAUAGCCUUUGGAAACGAAGAGUAAUACCCUAUACGCCCUUCGGGGGAAAGAUUUAUCGGUAUCGGAUUAGCCCGCGUAAGAUUAGAUAGUUGGUGGGGUAAUGGCCUACCAAGUCUACGAUCUUUAGCUGGUUUUAGAGGAUGAUCAGCAACACUGGGACUGAGACACGGCCCAGACUCCUACGGGAGGCAGCAGUGGGGAAUCUUAGACAAUGGGCGCAAGCCUGAUCUAGCCAUGCCGCGUGAGUGAAGAAGGCCUUAGGGUCGUAAAACUCUUUCGCCAGAGAUGAUAAUGACAGUAUCUGGUAAAGAAACCCCGGCUAACUCCGUGCCAGCAGCCGCGGUAAUACGGAGGGGGUUAGCGUUGUUCGGAAUUACUGGGCGUAAAGCGCACGUAGGCGGACUGGAAAGUUGGGGGUGAAAUCCCGGGGCUCAACCUCGGAACUGCCUCCAAAACUAUCAGUCUAGAGUUCGAGAGAGGUGAGUGGAAUUCCAAGUGUAGAGGUGAAAUUCGUAGAUAUUUGGAGGAACACCAGUGGCGAAGGCGGCUCACUGGCUCGAUACUGACGCUGAGGUGCGAAAGUGUGGGGAGCAAACAGGAUUAGAUACCCUGGUAGUCCACACCGUAAACGAUGAAUGCCAGUCGUCGGCAAGUAUACUUGUCGGUGACACACCUAACGGAUUAAGCAUUCCGCCUGGGGAGUACGGUCGCAAGAUUAAAACUCAAAGGAAUUGA
rnacentral:rRNA from 1 species